rnacentral:rRNA from 1 species
UACGUAGGGGGCAAGCGUUGUCCGGAAUCAUUGGGCGUAAAGCGCGUGUAGGCGGCCCGAUAAGUCCGCUGUGAAAGUCCAGGGCUCAACCCUGGGAUGCCGGUGGAUACUGUCGGGCUCGAGUCCGGAAGAGGCGAGUGGAAUUCCUGGUGUAGCGGUGAAAUGCGCAGAUAUCAGGAGGAACACCAAUGGCGAAGGCAGCUCGCUGGGACGUGACUGACGCUGAGACGCGAAAGCGUGGGGAGCGAACAGG